rnacentral:rRNA from 1 species
GACGAACGCUGGCGGCGUGCCUAAUACAUGCAAGUUGAGCGAUGAAGAUUGGUGCCUGCACCAAUUUGAAGAGCAGCGAACGGGUGAGUAACGCGUGGGGAAUCUGCCUUUGAGCGGGGGACAACAUUUGGAAACGAAUGCUAAUACCGCAUAACAACUUUAAACAUAAGUUUUAAGUUUGAAAGAUGCAAUUGCAUCACUCAAAGAUGAUCCCGCGUUGUAUUAGCUAGUUGGUGAGGUAAAGGCUCACCAAGGCGAUGAUACAUAGCCGACCUGAGAGGGUGAUCGGCCACAUUGGGACUGAGACACGGCCCAAACUCCUACGGGAGGCAGCAGUAGGGAAUCUUCGGCAAUGGACGAAAGUCUGACCGAGCAACGCCGCGUGAGUGAAGAAGGUUUUCGGAUCGUAAAACUCGGUUGGUAGAGAAGAACGUUGGUGAGAGUGGAAAGCUCAUCAAGUGACGGUAACUACCCAGAAAGGGACGGCUAACUACGUG